GCAUUAAACUAAAGCAACUCAGAGGCCUGUAAAAUACAAGCACUGCUGAGUUAUCCUUGUGUUGCUGCCCUUCAUCUGGUUCGUUUGCAGGAGGGAAUAAUGAUCUGUCACCAAGAGAAAAAUACCA